GACGAACGCUUGCGGCGUGCCUAAGAAAUGCAAGUCGAACGGAUCAUUCCAGCAAUGGUGUGAUUAGUGGCGAACGGUCGCGUAACACGUAAGCAACCUGCCCAGAAGUGGGGGACAACAGCCCGAAAGGGUUGCUAAUACCGCAUGUGGUCACCGUUUCGCAUGGAAUGGUGUCCAAAGCUUUAUGCGCUUCUGGAUGGGCUUGCGGCCUAUCAGCUAGUUGGUGGGGAACUGCUUACCAAGGCGAUGACGGGUAGCUGGUCUGAGAGGACGAUCAGCCGGAUUGGGACUGAGAUACGGCCCAGACUCCUACGGGGGGCAGCAAUUAGGAAUCUUGCACAAUGGGGGAAACCCUGAUGCAGCGACGCCGCGUGGAGGACGAAGGCAUUCGUGUCGUAAACUCCUUUUGACAGGGAAGAAGAAUGUGACGGUACCUGU
rnacentral:rRNA from 1 species